rnacentral:rRNA from 1 species
AUUCCCGGCUGCAACACAAGUCGAACGCUGUAGCAAUACAGAGUGGCAGACGGGUGAGUAACGCGUGGGAACCUUCCCAGUGGUGCGGAAUAGCUCAGGGAAACUUGAGGUAAUACCGCAUAAGCCCCUAGGGGGAAAGAUUUAUCGCCAUUGGAUGGGCCCGCGUCGGAUUAGCUAGUUGGGGGUGUAAUGGACCACCAAGGCGACGAUCAGUAGCUGGUUUGAGAGGAUGAUCAGCCACAAUGGGACUGAGACACGGCCCAUACUCCUACGGGAGGCAGCAGUAGGGAAUUUUGCGCAAUGGGCGAAAGCCUGACGCAGCAACGCCGCGUGAUUGAUGAAGCCCUUCGGGGUGUAAAGAUCUGUCAGUGGGGACGAAACUUGACGGUACCCACAGAGGAAGCAUCGGCUAACUCCGUG